rnacentral:rRNA from 1 species
UACGUAGGUGGCAAGCGUUGUCCGGAAUUAUUGGGCGUAAAGCGCGCGCAGGCGGUCCUUUAAGUCUGAUGUGAAAGCCCACGGCUUAACCGUGGAGGGUCAUUGGAAACUGGGGGACUUGAGUGCAGAAGAGGAGAGUGGAAUUCCACGUGUAGCGGUGAAAUGCGUAGAGAUGUGGAGGAACACCAGUGGCGAAGGCGACUCUCUGGUCUGUAACUGACGCUGAGGCGCGAAAGCAUGGGUAGCGAACAGG